rnacentral:rRNA from 1 species
UACGUAGGGUGCGAGCGUUGUCCGGAAUUAUUGGGCGUAAAGAGCUCGUAGGCGGUGUGUCGCGUCGGCCGUGAAAACCUGCAGCUUAACUGUGGGCUUGCGGUCGAUACGGGCAUCACUGGAGUUCGGCAGGGGAGACUGGAAUUCCUGGUGUAGCGGCGAAAUGCGCAGAUAUCAGGAGGAACACCGGUGGCGAAGGCGGGUCUCUGGGCCGAUACUGACGCUGAGGAGCGAAAGCGUGGGGAGCGAACAGG